rnacentral:rRNA from 1 species
ACCCUGCACUUACAAGCUGUGGAAGCACAUUUCUUGUGUGACCGCGUACUUUUUGUAGAACGGGCCAACGAGUUACGUUAAGUAGCAAGGUUAAGCACUUAAGGUGCGGAGCCGUAGCGAAAGCGAGGUUUAACUGAGCGUUCAGUUACUUGACGUAGACCCGAAACCGGGCGACCUACCCAUGAGCAGGAUGAAGCGAAAGUAAAAUUUCGUGGAGGUCCGAACCCACGAGCG